UGGGGGAUAUUGCACAAUGGGCGAAAGCCUGAUGCAGCGACGCCGCGUGGGGGAUGAAGGCUUUCGGGUUGUAAACCUCUUUCGCUAUCGAACAAGGCCCGCUUAGGGUGGGUUGAGGGUAGGUGGAGAAGAAGCGCCGGCUAACUACGUGCCAGCAGCCGCGGUAAUACGUAGGUCGCGAGCGUUGUCCGGAAUUAUUGGGCGUAAAGGGCUUGUAGGCGGCUUGUUGCGCCUGCUGUGAAAACGCGGGGCUUAACUUCGCGCGUGCAGUGGGUACGGGCAGGCUUGAGUGUGGUAGGGGUGACUGGAAUUCCAGGUGUAGCGGUGGAAUGCGCAGAUAUCUGGAGGAACACCGAUGGCGAAGGCAGGUCACUGGGCCACUACUGACGCUGAGGAGCGAAAGCAUGGGUAGCGAACAGG
rnacentral:rRNA from 1 species